rnacentral:rRNA from 1 species
UACGGGGGGGGCAAGCGUUGUUCGGAAUUACUGGGCGUAAAGGGCUCGUAGGUGGCCAACUAAGUCAGACGUGAAAUCCCUCGGCUUAACCGGGGAACUGCGUCUGAUACUGGAUGGCUUGAGGUUGGGAGAGGGAUGCGGAAUUCCAGGUGUAGCGGUGAAAUGCGUAGAUAUCUGGAGGAACACCGGUGGCGAAGGCGGCAUCCUGGGCCGAAACUGACGCUGAGGAGCGAAAGCGUGGGUAGCAAACAGG